AGUGAACGCUGGCGGUAGGCCUAACACAUGCAAGUCGAACGGCAGCACAGUAAGAGCUUGCUCUUACGGGUGGCGAGUGGCGGACGGGUGAGGAAUACAUCGGAAUCUACUUUUUCGUGGGGGAUAACGUAGGGAAACUUACGCUAAUACCGCAUACGACCUACGGGUGAAAGCAGGGGAUCUUCGGACCUUGCGCGAUUGAAUGAGCCGAUGUCGGAUUAGCUAGUUGGCGGGGUAAAGGCCCACCAAGGCGACGAUCCGUAGCUGGUCUGAGAGGAUGAUCAGCCACACUGGAACUGAGACACGGUCCCGACUCCUACGGGAGGAAGCAGUGGGGAAUAUUGGACAAUGGGCGCAAGCCUGAUCCAGCCAUACCGCGUGGGUGAAGAAGGCCUUCGGGUGGUAAAGCCCUUUUGUUGGGAAAGAAAAGCAGCAGGUUAAUACCCCGCUGUUCUGACGGUACCCAAAGAAUAAGCACCGGCUAACUUCGUG
rnacentral:rRNA from 1 species